UCCAAGGGUAUUGUGGUCUUUGUGAUCAUCUAUUACAAAUAGUGAAAUCCAUAGGCUAUUCCAUAUUAAAAUCUUCAAAAGAUCUCUACUCAAGAAAGCUAUUUCACAUCCUUUCUUGGAGUCGAUGUCGUACAUCACCUCAGUAUAGGUUCUAGGAUCAUCUCUAUGAUCCCUAUCUCCUAUGAGAAAUAAUUUUCUCUACAUCCACUGUUAUUUCGAGA
rnacentral:lncRNA from 1 species